UUCCCUUUUUGAAUCACUCAAUUUAGAGCUUUUUAGCUCAAGUUAUGGCCAUUUAACCAUAACUAGCUGGAUUAGUCAAUUCCAGAAUUCUGGGCAAUUUUAGGUUCUAGCAGAUUUGGUAAUCCAAUUUUGGUUGGCAAUUUGAUUUGGUUAUGGUCAGAAUUUGAGAUUGUGUUCUUCAUGAAAGUUGUUCUACUAUGUCCUAGCUUUCCAAUGAUUCAAAAAUCAGGUCAUUUGGACCUUUCUACACAAAGUUAUGACCAUUUG
rnacentral:misc_RNA from 1 species